ACCCCCGGCGCCGCGUCCCGCGUGCUCGGGCAUGGACGG
rnacentral:misc_RNA from 1 species